UCCUCGCUGGCACACCGCUCGGUGCCUAGCUCUGAUACCAUCUGUAACAGCCCAAGCCCCCCACCGUUAAUAGAUAUUGUCAUAUUUGGGCUUUACCUUUUGGGCCUUUUCUCAGGUUUUUAAAACGCGUCUGCUAGUGAAAGGUUUCCUCAACCUUAUAAA